GCCUAGCUGACUCAGUUGGCAUAGCAUGUGACUCUUGAUCUCAGGGUUGUGAGUUUGAGUCCCAUGUUGGGUG
rnacentral:tRNA from 1 species